AACGAACGCUGGCGGCAUGCCUAACACAUGCAAGUCGAACGAGACCUUCGGGUCUAGUGGCGCACGGGUGCGUAACGCGUUGGAACCUGCCCUUAGGUUCGGAAUAACUCCCCGAAAGGGGUGCUAAUACCGGAUAAUGUCUUCGGACCAAAGAUUUAUCGCCUUUGGAUGGGCCCGCGUUGGAUUAGCUAGUUGGUAGGGUAAAAGCCUACCAAGGCGACGAUCCAUAGCUGGUCUGAGAGGAUGAUCAGCGACACUGGGACUGAGACACGGCCCAGACUCCUACGGGAGGCAGCAGUGGGGAAUAUUGGACAAUGGGCGAAAGCCUGAUCCAGCAAUGACGCGUGAGUGAUGAAGGCCUUAGGGUUGUAAAGCUCUUUUACCCGGGAUGAUAAUGACAGUACCGGGAGAAUAAGCUCCGGCUAACUCCGUG
rnacentral:rRNA from 1 species